GUGCGCAUGGCCGAGAGGUUAGGCAACGGAUUGCAAAUCCGUCCAGCCCGGUUCGAUUCCGGGUGCGCACUCCA
rnacentral:tRNA from 1 species